rfam:Lottia gigantea unplaced genomic scaffold LOTGIsca_324, whole genome shotgun sequence.
AAAACGGCCCUUUUCAGGGCCAUCCAAAAUCUCANAAAAGAGUGA